GAGACAGCAGCAGCCACGGGAAUACGGAGGGAGCUAGCGUUGUUCGGAAUUACUGGGCGUAAAGCGCGCGUAGGCGGUUACUCAAGUCAGAGGUGAAAGCCCGGGGCUCAACCCCGGAACUGCCUUUGAAACUAGGUGACUAGAAUCUUGGAGAGGUCAGUGGAAUUCCGAGUGUAGAGGUGAAAUUCGUAGAUAUUCGGAAGAACACCAGUGGCGAAGGCGACUGACUGGACAAGUAUUGACGCUGAGGUGCGAAAGCGUGGGGAGCAAACAGGAUUAGAUACCCCUGUAGUCCCUGUCUCUUAUAC
rnacentral:rRNA from 1 species